rnacentral:tRNA from 1 species
AUUUAAAUAGUUUAAAAAAAAUAUUGAUUUGUGGAAUCAAAGUUUUAAAUUAUUAAUUUAAAUU